CACGUAGGCACCAAGCGUUAUCCGGAUUUAUUGGGCGUAAAGAGCUCGUAGGCGGUUCGGUAAGUCGGGUGUGAAAACUCUGGGCUCAACCCAGAGAGGCCACCCGAUACUGCUGUGACUAGAGUGCGGUAGGGGAGCGGGGAAUUCCUGGUGUAGCGGUGAAAAUGCGCAGAUAUCAGGAGGAACACCGGUGGCGAAGGCGGGUCUCUGGGCCAUAACUGACGCUGAGGAGCGAAAGCGUGGGGAGCGAACAGG
rnacentral:rRNA from 1 species